UGCCAGGAAAUAGAAUAAAUUCCGGGAACGCACGCACGACACGAAAAGGUCGACGUUGAACACAGUACUGUGACGAUUGUGGUAGUAAUAAUUUCUCUAGUCUCUAUUUUGCUUCGGAGUGAUUUUAUAGCUGUUGUUGGUGUUGUUUUUUUCUACAAGACAGUUUGCCUGCUCUAGCCGCAGAUGUUUACGGCUCUAGAUCCCCUCGGUGCGAGGCCAUCUGGCGGAAUAUUUAAUUUGAGCGUUAUCAAUUUCCAUUGACGGAAUUACGGUGGAUGCAACUUUUAUGGUAAUAGCGACCAGAUCGCGUAUUUUGAUAUCAGAAUCCAUACAGCAGGUUUCUGGAAACUUUGGUGUAUGACAUUUGAUAUCAAGAUUGGCGAUAUCACAUGAUAUCCGCUGUAGCAUGAACCGGUUAUUAGGCACCGAUAACAAUCCCUCAAAUGGAAACAUGACACGGUCACGCACAUUAUGUUAAGCUACCUGUUUAACAGAUAUUAGUAUAACAAUUCAAACAAAAUUUUUAACAUUUUGAAAUUAGACAGCCUCUCUCCUCUUUUUACACUGAAUGGUCUGAAUGGUUUGGUAUUAAACACCGUGGUUUCGCUACAAUGUUCUAAUUGGAAUAAAUAUGGCAUAGUAGAUUUUUGAAUAUAGGUAUGAAUAUAAAAAACACCAUACUUUUAAUAAGCAAUCAACAAUAAAAUCUAUUAUCAAUGAAA